ensembl:lncRNA
CGUGGGUGGCUGAAAGAUAAACUGUUUUGCUGGUAGUUGUGGUAAUAUAAUGAAAGUUUAGAUGCGAUCACUAUAUAAAUUAAACGAUGAAAAAGCCUGGAAGGAGGAGAGAUGACUAGAAACGAUUCGGUUGGCCGUUUUUUGUCGGAGUAGAGGUCCUUGUGCAUUGUAGGACCUGAGCCCUAGGACCAUGCCCCAGGACUACCUGACAUGAUGACUCCUUGCUGUCCCCAGUCCACCUGGCCGUGCUGCUGCUCCAGUUUCAACUGUUCUGCCUUAUUAUUAUACGACCAUGCUGGUCAUUUAUGAACAUUUGAACAUCUUGGCCAUGUUCUGUUAUAAUCUCCACCCGGCACAGCCAGAAGAGGACUGGCCACCCCACAUAGCCUGGUUCCUCUCUAGGUUUCUUCCUAGGUUUUGGCCUUUCUAGGGAGUUUUUCCUAGCCACCGUGCUUCUACACCUGCAUUGCUUGCUGUUUGGGGUUUUAGGCUGGGUUUCUGUACAGCACUUUGAGAUAUCAGCUGAUGUACGAAGGGCUAUAUAAAUAAAUUUGAUUUGAAUUUGAUUUGAAAUAGUGACAUGAGGAAUAAAUGCCCAGUGAAUAAUGAAUAGAAAUAAAGAGUAAAAACUACAAGGAUAUAUAUAGGGAGGACAAAAUAACAUGGCUAUAUACAGGGAGUACCAGUACCUAGUCGAUGUGCAGGGGUACGUAAAUUGAGGUAGCUAAGUAUUCAGACCCCUUGACUUUUUCCACAUUUUGUUACGUUACAGCCUUAUUCUAAAAUGUAAUAAAUAUUUUUUCCCCCCUCAUCAAUCUACACACAAUACCCCAUGAUGAAAAAGCAAAAACAGUUUUUUAGAUUUGUUUUCUCAUAAAAAAAACAACAACACUGAAAUAUGUAUUCAGUCUCUUUACUCGGUACUUUGUUGAAGCACCUUUGGCAGAGAUUACAGCAUUGAUUCUCCUUGGGUAUGAUGCAACAAGCUUGGCACACCUGUAUUUGGAGAGUUUCUCCCAUUCUUCUCUGCAGGUCCUCUCAAGCUCUGUCAGGUUGUCUGAGGAGCGUCGCUGCACAGCCAUUUUAAGGUCUAUCCAGAGAUGUUUGAUCGGGUUUAAGUCUGGGCUCUGGCUGUGCCACUCAAGGACAUUCAGUGACUUGUCCCGAAGCCAUUCCUGCGUUGUCUUGGUUGUGUGCUGAGGGUCGUUGUGAUGUUGUAAGGUGAACCUUCGACACAUUCUGAGGUCCUGAGUACUCUGGAGCAGGUUUUCAUCAAGGAUCUCUGUACUUUGCUCUGUUCAUAUUUCCCUCAAUCCUGACUAUUCUCCUAGUCCCUGCCGCUGAAAAACAUCUCCACAGCAUGAUGCUGCCACCACCAUGCUUCACCAUAGGGAUGGUGCCAGGUGUCCUCCAGAUGUGACGCUUGGCAUCCAGGCCAAAUAAUUUAAUCUUGGUUUCAUCAGACCAGAGAAUCUUGUUUCUCAUGGUCUGAGAGUCCUUUAGGCGCCUUUUGGCAAACUCCAAGCUGGCUGUCAUGUGCCUUUUACUAUGGAGUAGCUUCCGUCUGGCCACUCUACCAUAAAGGCCUGAUUGGUGGAGUGCUGCAGAGAUGGUUGUCAUUCUGGAAGGUUCUCCCAUCUUCACAGAGGAACUCUGGAGCUCUUUCAGAGAGACCAUCACGGUCUUGGUCACCUCACUGACCAAAGCCCUUCUCCACCCAUUUGCUCAGUUUGGCAGGGCGGCC